UAGCUGGUCUUAGAGAUGAUCAGCCACACUGGGACUGAGACACGGCCCAGACUCCUACGGGAGGCAGCAGUAGGGNAUAUUGGACAAUGGGGGCAACCCUGAUCCAGCCAUACCGCGUGUGUGAAGAAGGCCCUAGGGUUGUAAAGCACUUUCAACAGGGAUAAAAAGCCACAUGUUAUAGCAUAUGGCAUUGAUAUUAUC
rnacentral:rRNA from 1 species